GCGGGGAAUAAGCACCAACUAGGGCCGGUGUAUACUCAAUUAUAAUUAUCUCAAAAGGAGACAAGAGGGUCUGAGAGAGCUGACCUGGAGUAGAAGAGGAGGUACACACCAUGAGCCAGCACUUCUUCUACAAGUCUCAAGGUCACCCAUAUGGAAGACUUGAAGAGACUGAGCAUCUAUUAGUAAGGGUCAAACACAUUUGAAAACAUCCAAGAACUUGAUGCUAAUUCUUAGAUUAAAAAGUGUAUCACACUGGGAGAUCUUG